CCAGCCAGACCACUGGAUCCGGAAGGCCCACUGAGGAAAGCUGAGGAAGAAGCUUGAGACGUACCACACCCUGAGUUCCUACUAUAUAUCUUUGUGGGGAGAAGAUGUCUGACAAAGCACUCCAGUGGAAUGGGAUUCAAUCAUACCUGGUGUAAAACCAGCCUAAUUGAAAGGAUUGGAGUGAUGAAUCACCAUCUGGAGGUAGCUGCACAAAUGAUAUUCUCAAAGAAAUUAUGAGCUUCUAGGAGAGGUUUGUAUC